CAGGCGCCAAGCAGUAUCCUCUGGGCUGCUAAUUUGCUGGACACACAGAGCCCUGUUCCAUAACCUCCCCCUAGGUUGUGGGGACUUACAUCCCCAACCAGCAGGAGAUAGAGAACUUGCUAGACUUCAUGAAGACCACAGAAACACAAAGCUCUGGCUGGAAGUUUUCUCCCAAUAGGACAUCAGGGAGGAGAAAGUGAAAGUCCUGUGGAAGUUUUUUACUUGACUUGGUGGAAGAAAUAAAACUGGGAUAGAGCUCCAUGUGUCUAUCCAGACCACUGACAGUAAAAGAUGAGAAUGGUGCCACUCAUUCGAGGACCACCUGCUCUCAUGACUACAUCAUGAUAAACUGGGACAGGAGCAGCUCUCCAAGAGAGAAAAUCCAGAGACUGGGCUGCUCUGCAGGGAAGAAAACCCAGAAAAGAAUCCAACACCACUGGAGAACAAUUCAGGACAUAGCCACCAGGUUCCAGAUGCCAGCAUGAUGCCUACCAGACUUUCCUGGACAAACGACCCCACCAAUGUGUCCUGCAGCUCUGCUUCCCCAGAGACCCACCCUACUAGGGAAAGAGAAAGGCAGACUGAGAGUAUGGAUCGACAAGUCAUCGUCCAUGUUCAGCGGGGAAGCAAUUACAGAAGCCAGACCUUCCACCUUCUGCAACUCACAAUGACCUUGGUUCCAUAUUCCCAGAGAGAUAAAGAAUGGGAAAGCUAUCAGGGGAGGGAAUGGGAUAUGGAGAUCUGGUGGUGGUAAUUGUGUGGAGUUGUACCCCUCCUAUCCUACGGUUUCCUUAAUGUCUCCUUUUUAAAAUAAAUAAA